AUUCCCCUAGUAACGGCGAGCGAAGCGGGAAGAGCUCAAAUUUGAAAGCUGGCACCUCCGGUGUCCGCGUUGUAAUCUCGAGACGUGUUUUCCGUGCGGCUCUAUGGACAAGUCCCUUGGAACAGGGCAUCGUAGAGGGUGAAAAUCCCGUACUUGCCAUGGAAGUACCGUGCUUUGUGAUACACGCUCCAAGAGUCGAGUAGUUUGGGAUUGCUGCUCAAAGUGGGUGGUAGACUCCAUCUAAAGCUAAAUAUCGGGGAGAGACCGAUAGCGAACAAGUACCGUGAGGGAAAGAUGAAAAG
rnacentral:rRNA from 1 species